ensembl:lncRNA
CUGGCCUUCAAAGCCAAAUGCUCUGGGGACUUGUCUUCCAGUGCUAAAUCUCCAGUCUGGGGGGCCUGACAUAGGGCUCAGAACUCUCGCUCCUGUGGGAGAACCUCUUCACUGUAAUUAUUCUCCAGUUUGUGGCUCACCCACCUGGGGUUAUGGGAUUUGAUUAGAUCGUGAGUCUACCCCUCCUAUCGAUCUUGUUGUGGUUCCUUCUCUAGUUGUAGAAGAUCUUUUUUGGUAGGUUCUAGGCUUUUUAAUCAAUGGUUGUUCUGCAGAUAGUGUAAUUUUGGGCUACUUGGGAGGGGAAGUGAGCUCGUGAUCCUUCUACUCCCCCAUCUCCAUUGCUCUCGGUGCAUUCUCUCUCUUAAAAGACAACCAAAAAGCUAUUCCUAGCAGAGAGGGUUUGGGAGAGCCAUUUGAGCGGAAGAAACCCUCCAGCUGGGUGUAACAACACUUGUAUCAGUGGGAGGCAAUUGUUAUCACACAGGCCACAUAUUCUUCAUCACAGGAUAUGAUAAGCUCUCACAACUCUUCAAUUCUACCCUUAUGAGUAAAUAGCUCAAACAAACAGCACUGCUCUGACAUCCAGGAGGCCUACGUUGUCCUCCCAGCGUGACUAAUACCAAUUAAAUGAAUGGUGAGACCAGCCAAUGUCUUUCUUUUCUCUUGGCUUUAGUUUACUCUUUUACUUUUUUUUUUUUUUUUUUUUUUAAGUGAAAGGGUUGCUUUUGUCACCAGAUAUUUCCCUAUACUGUCCAGCCAAGAGUCCUUUGGAAUUUAUGCCCACCAGGCCCUGAGCCAAGCCUGAGCAGGAUCAGCAGGACUCAGCACCCACUGCCUGUUGGGAUGGGAGUGGGGCUGUCUCUGUGUCUGACUCGGCUUCCUGGGGUCUGGGGUGAGCUGUCUGAGCCCCAGCCCGCUCCCAUUCUUACCGUGUUGGCUCCAACUGUUAGUUGGAUGCCAACCUUGUUUUUCUCUGCCUUUACCACAAGAACAAUUUGUCCCACAGCUCUGAACCCGUAGCAUGAUUUUAAUAACUGCCUGGACCUGGAGUUGAGGCAGCCUUGGCCGCCUCCCCAUGAAACAUUAAGGUGAAUCACUCUGAACAUCCACAUUUGCAAAUGCACAGAGAGAAGGAAUCUUCUGGGUUUGGGCCCACCCAGGCUGAUUUCUUUGUUUUAAGCCCUGCUCUCUCCUUUAUCUCAUUAUUGGAUCAGACUUUCCCCCACCCCCACCCAUUGCAAUCAUUACCCUCGUGCUGCUGGGUUAUUUACAAGUAAUACCUGUGUCCUGACUCCUUGCUCCUCUGAAGAAUGAAGUUUUGAUGACUAAACAACAAUUGUAACUUGUUUUCUCCACUACUGUGGGACCUGAGGUUAUUUGAGUGUAGAGAUGCACAAAGACUUUAUAAAUGCCCAGGAUGUGUUGCCAUGAUUGACUGCGUUUGUUUUGUCACCUCAUAGCAGGUGCUGGUUUGGGAUGGGGUGCAGGAGCCUGGGCUGCCUUGCCUCAGACACCUGUAUGAGACGAAGUUCAGCUGGGGAAAGGUGUGGUUACUGGUCCUCCUGUGAUUUCACUGCCAGGAAACGGGCCCCAGGCCCCGGCCAAAGCACAGGGCAGGAGAGUGAUGGAUUUUUCAGUCACUGCUGAAACCGCCAGCAAAGACAUAGAGGGAGGUGAGGAAAAUGGACAGCGUGUGAGUGCCUAACUCUGAACUGGGUUGCAGUCUCACAACAUCCUAGUAAAGCCUCGUGCAUCCUGAUUUUAGUGGGGAAAAGGAAACUGAGGCCGGAGGAGUGGAGACACAGCUGGGAAGUAUCAGAGCUCGCCUGCCUCUGGUCCCCUCCCAGGGUUGUGCCUGAAAUUCAGAGGACAGAUGAUGGAGCAUUGGCUGAAAUGAGAACACGCAGGCCGCCCGGCCAGCCUGGAACUGCACUGCUGACUCUGAAGACCAUCGAUCUGCUUCUUGGAUUCUGGUUAUUAGUGCGUAAACAGGAGUAAUUAGACAUCCUGAAAAUUGGGCCUGGCAGGAGAGUAGGGAGAUGAAAGGUCAAGGGAGCUGCCUGGGGUGUCCUGCCACGUUGCUUGGUUGCGGGUGGCCCACCACAAAAAUGCAGGGCUGGCUGCUUUAGCAAACCCAGAGAGGCCUGCUCUUUCCUCUUCACAUCAGCAGGAGGUGACAGUGAGCAGUACAUGUCUAGUCUUGCUGCCCCAGAAGAGCCCACUUCUGUUUUGAUUUUGUGAUUUGAGCAAAUGCAUUCACUUCUCCGAGUCUUAGUUUCCUUAUCUGACUGGGGAUGGUAAUACCCACCCCCCCAAAAAAGUCCUCCCUUGUUUUUUGAGACAAUAGUGAGAUUGUGGAUAUAAAUCACUUUGUCAAUCAAGUAUGGGCCCUGUUGAGUUUUAAUGUCUUCUCAACUCUAUUGUCUUUUACGUACAUUUCCUUUAAAGUCUUUCUAGAAGUUGCUGAGCUACAAUGAAAAGGCAAAUACAAAUAAAAGACAUGAUUGUUUCAAAAUUUUACCGACAGUCACUUUGAGAAAACAUUUUCUUUUUUUUUUAUCUUGAAAUUACCCCAAUUUUUGGACACAUAAUUCGAUUGUGAGUGAUACUCAUUCCCUUGAGAAAUACCUAGUGAGUAUCUUCUACAUGUUUUUUUUUUUUUUUGUCUUUUGUCUUUUUAAGGCUGCACCUAUGGCAUGUGGAGGUUCCCAGGCUCGGGGUCCAAUUGGAGCUGUAGCUGCCAGCCUACACCACAGCCACAGCAACACAGGAGCCGAGCCUCAUCUGCGACCUACACCAUAUCUCAUUGCAAUGCUGGAUCCUUAACUCACUGAGCAAGGCCAGGGAUUGAACCCGCAUCCUCACGGAUACUAGCUGGGUUUGUUAACCACGAAGCCAUGAUAGGAACUCCGAUUUUUAAGUUUAAAUACAUGCAUGAGGGCACCAAUAAAGUAAUUUUAAUUACAAUAAAUGCUAAAGAGAAGUACUGACUCUCUGAAGAGCAUAGGAUAGAGGGACCUAACCCUGAUUUAGGGGGUUAGAAAAAGUGAUGCUUGAAAUGAAAUCUCAAAGACAUGUUGGGGUUAGGUAAGUGAAGUGGAAAAGGAACAACCAUUCCAGGCUUCAGGAAUAGCAGGUGCAAAGGCCCAGAGCAGCAAAAAUAACAAAGAAGGUCAGUGUACUCGGAUUGCAAGGAGCAUCCCUGGCUUAACAUAGAAGUGGAAUAUCCGUGACUUUUCUAUGCAUGAGGAAAAAACAGUCACUGAAAUAUUGGAUGGAUUGGAAGGAUAGACUUUUAUCUUUUGGUACUCGCUGUAGGUCAAAAUCAACAUGGUUAGCUUUAGGGUUUUAAAAAUGUAUUUAAUGUAAUUUCCUGGACUCAUAUGAUAAUAACAUUUGGCAUAAAGAUAGUGACAUAGUGGAAAAACUUUAUUUUCAGGAACAAUUGUUUAAGGACUAUCCCUUCCAAACUGAGUUUUCCUCUUUAGUUUUCCAUUCUGCCCCUCUUGACCUUGAUAUUGUUAAUGGCGCGAUAUUGCUUCCGGAUCUGGUCCCAGUGUAUUUUUCUAGACUUGUUUCUCGUGCUGUCUCUCUCUGACUGUUCUCUGUUCUCCAGGGUCAGGCCCUCCUUGUUCCACGCCAAGCCCUGCACCUUUCUGCUCCCACACCUUGACUCUGACCGCUCUCCAAGCUCACUUGUCUUUCUCCUCCCUCCUGAAUAAAAUCCCAAGCCAUCCUCCAGGCCCCGGUGAAAGGCUGCCCCCUCCUAGAAGCCAAGGCAGGACAAGGCCCCGCCACGAUGUUCCCGAGCACACUCCCCGUGGCCAUCGAUACCAGGAGCAUGCACCCUGCCUCCCACCAGGUGUUUUCUCUCUAUGCCUGGCUCCCCUUAGGACCGUGGGCUCUUUCAGGCUGCAGACAGCAUGACCUUAAUUGCUGCAUCCCCCUUCCAGACUGUCAGUGCAGAGCUUGCUGGGACCCAAGUCACAGCAGGUAGUGCUUCAUCCCAACUGAAUUCACUAGAUGACAGAAGACAGUUUCCUCUCAAGGUCUAGGGUGGAUAAGAAAUUUCUGCCAAGGAGUGCCUUUCAUUUGAAAGUUAGAUUGCUGGAUUUUGUUUCUUUUAAUCUCACAAACAUAAUGUUUAGUGAAACCAUGCACAACUAUGUACUAAAAAUGUGAUGAUGGAGUAUGUGAUUCUAUUGUUAUAAAAUGCAAAAGAGGUCAGAAUGGCUGGAGCUUUUGAAGGACUCAGAAAACUAGAGGUUGCUAGAUUUUAUUUGUAGUAGGAAGUGUUUGACACACCUAGAUGUCUAUAAUAGGGGUUUGUUUACAUAAAAUAAUUGACAUGUAUAUAAUAGAGUACUAUGCAACCAUUAAACAUGACGUAGAAACAUAGUUCUUAAUAAGAUAUCCACAAUAUAUUGAUAAAUUUAAAAAGGUAUGGUCAUAUGUUCUGUUGUAUCUCUUUUUGUGUGUGACAUGGGUUCAGGGAGUCUGGUAGCAGGUGAGUGAAUGUGGGUGACUCCAUCCCUUCCCCCCUUCAGGUAAUAGCUGGGGGUGGGGCUGGGAGAGGGAGAAAUGGAGGCUACAGAAGAGGCUCUGAAGUGGCUGGGAGAUGCCCCAUUGAGGUGUAAGGGGCCUUAGGGUCAUUCUCAGAACAUUGGGAGCAGAGAAAUGGUUUCUUGUACAGGGUAGGACCUGAUGCAGCCACUGUGGGGUUACUUCACCCCAUGGAUGGAAAGGACUGUGUAUUUAAGCCCUGGGCAACCCCUUUGGAAGAGCAGAGAUGGGAAGGGCAUUUCUCCUGUGAGGAGGCAGAAUGUCCAUGUGGCCCAGGGAAGGGACAGUGGCUGAGAGUCAGGAGUGACAAAGCAGAAUUGCCCCAGGGAAGCUAGGGCGGUCCAAGGCAGAAGAAGAUAAAGAUGAUGCAUGGCCACCUGAGCUUGAAAAGCUAGGUGGAUGAGCAACACGGGGCAGUAGCCUUCAAGGAGCACCAGCAAGGUGCUGUGAGGGUGAGCAGUGAUAGACACAGGCAGAGGUGGGCACUGGCUUGGGAGCAUGUGUGGGACACCUCAAGAUGUCCAGGGAUACUUGACAUACUACAGGGAGGAACCUCAGAAAGGGAUCUGGGGGCCUGAGGACAGGCAGGUACAGCCUAUCAAAUCAGCAAUGACCAUUCAUCUUCCUCAGUUGAGCCCCCCACCUGGUAAGACCUGGGGGGUUUUGGGGUUGCAUUUACUUAAUUUUUAUUUUUUUGUUUUAUUUUUUGUCUUUUGGGAGCUGCACCCGUGGCAUAUGGAGGUUCCCAGACUAGGGGACUAGUUGGAGCUACAGCUGCCGGCCUAUGCCAAAGCCACAGCAACACUGGAUCCGAGCUGUGACUGUGACCUACACCACAGCUCACAGCAAUGCCAGAUCCUUAACCCGCUGAGCAAGGCCAGGGAUCGAACCCGAAACCUCAUGGUUCCUAGUCGGAUUCGUUUCCACUGUGCCAUGACGGGAACUCCUGCAUUUACUUAAUAAAUGAUACGUACACAAAGAAAAGACUAGAAAAGUAGACAUCAAGGUGUGAACAAUGGCUGUCUCUGGGUAGAUGGAUGAGUGUUUUUCUUUCUUUCUUGUUUGGUAUUUGUGUGUUUUCUGGUAUUCCUGAAAGGAACAUGUGUUGCCCUUAU